rnacentral:lncRNA from 1 species
UUCUUUUAUAAUAUGUUCUUAUUUGCAUUAAUGCUCUUGAUUACAGUGUUAAAAAUGUCCAUCAUAACCACUAUGCUGAGACUCAACAGGUUCUUUAGAUUUUUCCUUUGAAAACCUUAGUGUUAUAAAGUUUAAUAUUCUGUUAUCUGAGAAAACCCAAAAACGAUUUUCAUUGAAAUGCUUAAUAAGGUACCAGGCAUAUGAAUGCAGUACUGCUUUCUUUUGUGCCUUUGUAAAGCAAAAGUAAUUUGGACAUGUUGGUGUGGCAUCUCCCUUCUGUAUUUUAAUAACUUCAUUGUUGUAUUGGAAUAUUAACAAAAU